rnacentral:ncRNA from 20 species
UCCUGGAGAGGCGACUGGCGAGGCCGGAUGACCGGCAGGGAGCGCGACAACGGCAUCGACCGCCUGGGUGCCCAUC